AUACUUGCUUCAGCAGUACAUAUACUAAAAUUGUAAUGCUAUAGAAAAGAUUAGCAUGGCCACUGUGCAUGAUGACAUGCAGAUUCGUGAAGUGUUCCAUAUUUUA